rnacentral:lncRNA from 1 species
UAUGACUCUGCUUUUUAUGCUCAUCAGCUUAGGCUAAGGGGCACUUUUUAGCUGCCAAGGAACAAAGUUUCCAGUUAUUUAAUGUUUUGCGUAUUUUUUUCUUUUCUAGAUGCUUCCCCUGAGGCAGCCCACUGUUGUGCUUGUCAUAUCACUUGGGUGCCUGUAGACAUCUGUAUGCUUCUCCAGCUGCGUGGGAGACACACUUCACCUUGUGGCUCCUCCUUUCAAAGGUUGCAUGUGCUGUAUGGAGGAACAGUUGACUUUGCUGAUAGAGAACGUCUCAUUGCACCCCCUUUCCACACCAUCUGUCUGACCUGGACCCAUUCCAAACACUACGGCUUUGCUGGCAGAAUGGUCUUCCUGCUACAGAAGUUUUGUAAUCUGCUAAUUGACAGGGGCUUUGGCACAAGUGUUUCCCUCUAAGAAUGCUCUCCACACCCUUCCUCACCAGUGAACUCUUCAGGAGAUCUGCUCAGCCAUCACGAGGAAGUCUCUUCUGACCUUCCUGAUCAGUUCCAGCUUGUCUAUUGCCUCACUUCCCUCUUGUCUCUCCAAGGUAAUGUUAUCUUUUUGUGUGAUUCUUUGACUAAUGCUUGUUCACCCAUCAUCUGUGGGUUCCAUUAGAACUGGUUUCCAGCCUGGCCAACAUGGUGAAACCACAUCUCUACUAAAAAUACAAAAAUUAGCCGGGUGUGAUGGCAGGAACCUGUAGCCCCAGGUACUUGGGAGGCUGAAGCAGGAGAAUUGCUUGAACCCGGGAGACAGAGGUUGCAGAGAGCCAAGAUCUUGCCACUGCACUCCAGUCUGGGCAACAGAGCGAGACUCCAUCUCAAGGAAAAAAAAAAGUACUGGUUUCAUGCUAUUCUCAGGACAGUGCCUGGCAUAUAGUAGAGGCUCAUUAAAUACUUGUAGAAUAAAUAGAUGAAUGAAUGAAUAGUUCCAAUAGCAUUUUAGAAGCAGAAAAACCCAGUGAUGUGGGAGGGUUUGGGAUGAGAAGAAAAGUUUCCACGGCAGCAGGGUGGAGUGAUAACUUCUUAUUCAGGGAGGAGACAGGGAGGCUCACAGAAGUGGCCAAAGCCAGAUACCUUCUCCUCCUGAACUGAAGUCUGUCAGUGUAACUAAAGUGGGGAGUUUUGUGUACAUCAAUAGGCCCGAGAGCCCCACUAUGUUAUAGGAGAUAAUAUUAAUUUACAUGUCUAAGGUCAACCUUAAAUAUUAAGAAAAAGUUAAAUUACAUGAUUUG